AUUGAACGCUGGCGGCAUGCUUUACACAUGCAAGUCGAACGGUAACAGGCCUUCGGGUGCUGACGAGUGGCGAACGGGUGAGUAAUGCAUCGGAACGUGCCCAAUCGUGGGGGAUAACGUAGCGAAAGUUACGCUAAUACCGCAUAAGCCCUGAGGGGGAAAGCAGGGGAUCGCAAGACCUUGCGCGAAUGGAGCGGCCGAUGUCAGAUUAGCUAGUUGGUGGGGUAAAGGCCUACCAAGGCGACGAUCUGUAGCGGGUCUGAGAGGAUGAUCCGCCACACUGGGACUGAGACACGGCCCAGACUCCUACGGGAGGCAGCAGUGGGGAAUUUUGGACAAUGGGGGCAACCCUGAUCCAGCCAUGCCGCGUGAGUGAAGAAGGCCUCGGUGUAAG
rnacentral:rRNA from 1 species